UACGAAGGGGGCUAGCGUUGCUCGGAAUCACUGGGCGUAAAGCGCACGUAGGCGGAUUGCUAAGUCAGGGGUGAAAUCCUGGAGCUCAACUCCAGAACUGCCUUUGAUACUGGCGGUCUCGAGUCCGGGAGAGGUGAGAGGAACUGCGAGUGUAGAGGUGAAAUUCGUAGAUAUUCGCAAGAACACCAGUGGCGAAGGCGGCUCACUGGCCCGGUACUGACGCUGAGGUGCGAAAGCGUGGGGAGCAAACAGG
rnacentral:rRNA from 1 species